AUUCCUUGUUGCAGGCACUUCCUUAACAAUUCCUUAUAUCUUUCCCAUGACUCAUACAGGAUUUUGGACUCCAUUUGUCGGAAAGAAGAGAUGUCAUUUCUAAGCUU